GUGCUCACUGUGACAGCACAUAAACUAAAACUGGAACAAUACACAGAAGAUUAGUAUAGUACCUGAAGCAGCAAUGACAUGAAAUUUUGUGAGUGUUCCAUGUGUUU